UACGUAGGGUGCAAGCGUUAACCGGAAUUACUGGGCGUAAAGCGUGCGCAGGCGGUUAUGUAAGACCGAUGUGAAAUGCCCGGGCUUAACCUGGGAACUGCAUUUGUGACUGCAUGGCUAGAGUUUGGCAGAGGGGGGUAGAAUUCCACGUGUAGCAGUGAAAUGCGUAGAUAUGUGGAGGAACACCGAUGGCGAAGGCAGCCCCCUGGGUCAAGACUGACGCUCAUGCACGAAAGCGUGGGGAGCAAACAGG
rnacentral:rRNA from 1 species